AGUGCCAUGAUCUUAUUUAACAUCAGCAGCAUUAUUUUGUUGCAGUGCUUAGGCCAUAGAGCAGCACAGGUGGAAGCAGGAGGACAAUGUUAGGAGCUAUUCAAAGAGGUGACGGCAUCUUGGAGUAGGGUGGAAGCCGUAGUGGUGGUAAGAACUAGUGAGACUGGAUAUGUUCUGAAGAUAGAGGCCGCAGGAUUUGCUGACCGAUGAAAUGAGGAGUGGGAGAGGAGAGGUUUUGGUCAAAAACAACUGGAAGAAUGAAGCUGGCAUAACUAAGUCUUCAUCUAAUUUCUUCUUUCAGUAAACCUCUCAACCAUUUUUUUCCAUGGAGUUAUAAAGACGCAGCUUCAGGGAACCAACAGUCUUUCUCAACCACCGGGAAAUUCCAAGGGUGUGCCUGGGGACUGGCUGGGCGAGCUCAGCUCUAGUGCCCCCCUGCCUGGGCAUGUGGUACAUUGCAGGCACUGAGGCCAGGGCAAGGCACCAGGACUCCAUUUUUUUGAGGAGCUGGACGUUCCCCAGAAGAGAACUUUCCUCAUGAGUGGGAGUCUGUGAGCUCCAAAGGAACCUGAAGGAGCCAACCAGCAGCAGCUCCCUCCUGACUUGUACGGGAUUUUCAAGACAGUCAGCAGCACUGUGCUUUACAGCCCCACACAGGAUGAGAAUCACAGCGUCAGAGUUGGAAAGGGUUGCACUACACCCAGAGAGAGCUGGAGACCCAGAGAAAUGAAGUGAUUUGGCCAAGACCACACAACAGGAGCUUGGCUCUAUGAUCAGUGAGAACAUACUCUCAUCUCCACCAACUGGAAAAUACAUGCAUUGGUGCACAUCUGGUGGUAAGCUGGAUAAGCUGCGAAUCUGAUCAUCAGCUUUCUCUUUGUGCAACUGUGCCAGCUUUUGCAAGAAUUUGUCAUAAGGGGUCCAGGUCCAUAAAAUGCCUUUGUCAUCUCAACCUUCCUUGUGACUAAUUUGGCUGGAUGGAAAUGUGAGUUGUACCCUAUUUUGCCACUAGAACUUUUUUAGGCUAAAUUUGGGAAUUUAUUUUCUAGAUCUUGUGAGGGCUGCAUAUUUUGCCUGUUUUGGGGAUGCCAUGUCCACUGUUAAACCAUAAAACGACUUAUUUGUUUGCUAUUGAGAUUAAUAAGAUCCUACGUGUCAAUGGCCAGAUGAUGGAUCCUUUAAAUUGACUAUAUUUGAAAGGAAAAAAUUCUUUUUAGAGGGCUCUGAUUUCUCUUACUGAUAUAGUGGCUAGCCUCAGGGAUUUCCUUAAUAAGAUGAAAGAACAGAAAUUAGAACAAAAAUCAAAGUCCACCAAGGGCUCUUCUUAUUUGCCUUCAGGCAGUUGUAGCUAUAGAAGAUCAGGACAUUGGAAGUACAAUUGUCCUGAACUUAAGAAGUAAACAAAAUCUAGAGCAAUGGUUCUUAUCUUACAAAUCUUUGAAAAACUAAAAUAUUGCAACUCUAGAGGCAAUCCAAAGUCCAGCUAUUCCUUUUUAACAAUCCUAAAACUUCCCUAUUUAUCUGGAAAAGCUUGUAAAUUAUUGGCUUUAGGAAGCCU